rnacentral:rRNA from 1 species
GACGAACGCUGGCGGCGUGCUUAACACAUGCAAGUCGAACGGAAAGACCCUGCUUUUGUGGGGUGCUCGAGUGGCGAACGGGUGAGUAACACGUGAGUAACCUGCCCUUGACUCUGGGAUAACUUCAGGAAACUGGGGCUAAUACCGGAUAGGAGCUCCUGCUGCAUGGUGGGGGUUGGAAAGUUUCGGCGGUUGGGGAUGGACUCGCGGCUUAUCAGCUUGUUGGUGGGGUAGUGGCUUACCAAGGCUUUGACGGGUAGCCGGCCUGAGAGGGUGACCGGCCACAUUGGGACUGAGAUACGGCCCAGACUCCUACGGGAGGCAGCAGUGGGGAAUAUUGCACAAUGGGCGGAAGCCUGAUGCAGCAACGCCGCGUGCGGGAUGACGGCCUUCGGGUUGUAAACCGCUUUCGCCUGUGACGAAGCGUGAGUGACGGUAAUGGGUAAAGAAGCACCGGCUAACUACGUG